UAGAGUUUGAUCAUGGCUCAGGACGAACGCUGGCGGCGUGCUUAACACAUGCAAGUCGAGCGGAAUAUGGGGGCUUGCUCCCAUAUUUAGCGGCGGACGGGUGAGUAACGCGUGAGCAACCUGCCUUCAACUACGGGAUAACACUUAGAAAUAGGUGCUAAUACCGUAUAAGACCACACUCGGGCAUCCGAGAGGGGUAAAAGAUUUAUCGGUUGAAGAUGGGCUCGCGUCCCAUUAGUUAGUUGGUGAGGUAACGGCCCACCAAGACUGUGAUGGGUAGCCGACCUGAGAGGGUGAUCGGCCACAUUGGAACUGAGAAACGGUCCAAACUCCUACGGGAGGCAGCAGUGGGGAAUAUUGGGCAAUGGGCGCAAGCCUGACCCAGCAACGCCGCGUGAGCGAUGAAGGUCUUCGGAUUGUAAAGCUCUGUCGCAGGGGACGAAGUAUGACGGUACCCUGUAAGAAAGCCCCGGCAAACUACGUGCCAGCAGCCGCGGUAAUACGUAGGGGGCUAGCGUUGUCCGGAAUUACUGGGCGUAAAGGGAGUGUAGACGGCUUGUCAAGUUAAGUGUGAAAGCCUGCGGCUUAACCGUAGAAUUGCACUUAAAACUGACUCGCUAGAGUGCAGGAGAGGUGAGUGGAAUUCCUAGUGUAGCGGUGGAAUGCGUAGAUAUUAGGAGGAACACCAGAGGCGAAGGCGGCUCACUGGACUGUAACUGACGUUGAGGCUCGAAAGCGUGGGGAGCAAACAGGA
rnacentral:rRNA from 1 species